GUCUAUGGCCAUCCCACCCUGAACACACCAGAUCUUGUCUGAUCUCUAGAAGGUAAGCAGGGCCUGGUUAGUACUUGGAUGGGAGAAUGUCACAGAUA
rnacentral:rRNA from 1 species